UCACCUACCGGGUCCAAUCCCGGUGAUGCGGCAACACUACAUCUGGAGACCACGCCUUCAACACACAAACCGUUUGGAAGAAUGUUUUAUAUUCAGUCAGGACAGUGCUGCACUGGGGCUUUUACACAGCUCAAAGACAGUUGGAGAAAAUGAUGACUGGCCUUGCUGGUGAUAGGAAAGGCAGCCUGGAGAUGCCAUUCCUGAAGAGAGAAUGAGGAUCGCAUUACAGACGGGUCUUUAUUGAUAUACUUGACAUCUGCAGCAUACAAACAUGUAUCAGAGAAACAAAUGCUUGAAAUACUUUAUUUUUUAAUUUUUUAAAAUGUAUAUUCUUAUCUCAUAUAUUACAUCUUGACUGCUAUUCAGGUUUCUCUCCCUCCCCUCCCCUCCCCUCAGCCUCUCCUCACCACCCCCUUCUCCCCCAGAUACAUACCCUGCCUUCUUUCAGAAUAGUCAAAUACUUUAAAUAAGAAAAAGAAAACUAUAUUUUCGUACUAUUUAAAGCCAUAUAUUUAAACAUUAGGCAAUAUGAUAGAGUUGUCAAAAUUAGCAGGGACAUUAUUUUUUGUUAUGCUUUUGAAUAGAUAACAAACCGACAGGAGGCAGCAAGUAUCGUGAACAAUGGGGAGGUGCUGCUGUCUGAGUGGAAGGAGAGGUCCUACUUGUGAUAUGUCAUCUGGCAGGCGCGGUUCCCAUCUCAACUAAGAAAAAAAUCUAGAAAAGUACCAGUGACAAAUAAGCAGCUGCCCACAAACACCCAGCUCCAUCUGACCCCCAACUUCUGAUGGGGCAUCAUCUGUUUCAUUCCCUGAACCCUUCUGUCUUCACAUUCUCCAGAAAUAGAGAUGUGAAAGUUACAUCCAUGAUUUAAAAAUAACUGUCGUAGCAAUACCUAGCCCUGCUCGGGGUUGGGUAGAAAAAUGUUGAGGGGAAAACUUGAGGGGUGGGUAGCAAAUAUAAAAUUCUCCUCUGUAGUUUCUCUGGUCUUACUGCAAGAAGUUCCCCUGGCUGCCAUAUUCUUUGUUUCCAGAGCUAUGAAAGGAUCAGGAGGACUGGAGCGGUCAGAAGACAGGAAGAGUUAAGACAUCGAAGCCCUGAAGAGAAAGAGUGCAGGAGCUUGAGGUUUUGGCGAGCGAGCUUCAUGUUGGUCCUCCAGGGUAGAGACAUUUUAAAGGAAGAAAUUCCAGCUCUCGUUCUUUCUCACCAUGGUGCAUCGCCGAAAUCUUUAACACCUUCCAAGACAUAUAAAGUACCUCAUUUUAUAGACAAAGAAAGACAUACAGGAGCAUUGGGUGUUUCCAAGCAUUGUAAAGAGCAGAAUCAGAAUAAACUCUCAGCUAGAUGCCAGACAGAGUGUUCAUGCUUAACCAUUUGAUGACAGAGUGUUCACACUUAACCAUUUGGACUUUCAGUUAUUCCAGUCUCUACUCUUCCAUGCCAUUUAAUCUCUAAUUUGUUAUCUUAGUACUUUCUUUUAAAUUCAUAAAUAAAGAGACAUAGAAAUGUCUGACUACAUGUUUCUGCUAUAAAAUAAACGUCUUGGAAAACUAAUGAACAUGGUCAUAACAAAGCUACAAAGCUAAUGAAGAAAAUAAGGUUAAUUGUACCCACUAAGUGAUUCCUGUUGAGAAAUGUGGGAUAGACUCCACUUGAAUUUGCUAUUCUUUCUUCCUCACAGCAGGUAAGAAAUAGAUCCACCCAUUGCUAACACAUGAACUUGGCUAUUCUGGGUCAAGAGUUUCUUCAGUUUUUAAUAUCCAUUACUUAUAAGAAGGCAUGUUAUGAAAUAGAGAAAGUAAAUACAGAGAUUUGGAUUUUGUUGUUGAAAGGAAAUAUGAUAACCAUAUUUCCAAUCUGAAUGUUCCCCAAGCCUAUUUUCUAGAACUCUGUCAACUAAAGCCUACGUCAAGCAAGAUAUUUUUAAUUGCCUUCUUUGUUAAUUAAAUUCCAGUUUAUAAUUUAUUACUGUGUUCCUUUCGCUCAUUCAUCGUCUUUCUGUGUACUUCUAGAUUAGAAUUUUAAAAUUUUCUGAAGCAGUUGGAGAGGCCGCCUUUCCUGUUAAUUAUAAGAGCAACUGGAAAAGCAAUCAAGCAGCAACAUUUCGGUAUUCUCCAAAGUUUGUGUAUAGUCAAAGCCACGGUCUCAGCGUUCACUUUGUCGAGACUCCCUCACCUCUUUAUAAUCUCUUCGGAUAGCAGAACAUUCUUCCCCAGCAGAGCCAACCUCAAAGGCAGACAUGCUCCUGCUCUUCAGUGUCUUGGAGCUCUUCUGAGCUUGUACUUUGCCCACCCUCCCUAAUUCUGUUGCUCUUUAUGCCCGGCUACCAUCUUCUCAGCUUGUCAGAUUCUAACAAUCCACUUAACUCAUUGCAGCAUUUUUCUCUCACUGCAAAUAGAAAGGACAAGUCUACUGCAUCUUCCACAUGAUCAUUUCUCAAAUAUCAAAAAGUACAGCUAGAGUAGACUACUUACAUUUGGGGUUUUCUUUCCCCAGAUUAAAUACCCCUAAUUGCCUUGAUUCUAAUGGUUUGUCAAAAUUAUGACCUAAUAUAUUUGUGAUAACAUA
rnacentral:lncRNA from 1 species